CCCUUGUGGCUCUCUGGGCAUCUCUCCUGGAGGGUGCUGGCGGUGCCUCAUGUCAUCCGCACAUUGUCACGGUAGGUAGUGCUGCCACCUCCUACCAGUGUACAGAACACAACCGUCCCUUCUGCCCCACGGGACGCCUCCCCACAUCUCUCUAAGGGUACGUCAGCGCUGGGACCAGACAAAUAGGUGACGGCCGGGCUCCAAAAUAGCUCUUGGCUGCCCCACAUGGGAACUGGCUGGCUUAGUUCGUGGAAAGAUGCACCUAUUUCUGUCCGCCCGGGACAAGGCAUGAUCAUGUGCAGGAGAGGCAUGGCUGGGUCUGUGCCCUGCUGUGGAAAUGUCAUGUAAAAAGAGCCAGGUUACAGAGCUCUUAGCGUGGUUUUUUUGUGGUUGUUUUUUUUUUAAAGGAGUCUUUUAAAUUAUUUACUCUUCGAUAAGUUGGUGAUGCCUUUUUUUGAGGAAAUUAAGAGCAGGUAGAGCUACUGCUCCCAGGCUGCAGAGGUUGACAUUGAGGCAGCACAAUGGGAUCCCCCCUGAAUUAAUGCACAGCACCACAAUGUAAACACAAGGGGUGAAGCGCGAGGCUGCUUUCUCAAAUGUUUAGGAUCGAUCCUUUUACAGAGGCAUCAUGUUUUCCUGUGCCUUGGAAAAGGGAAAGAGAGGAGAAACGGGGAGCGCAGCCGCCCCCACCAGCCAUCUCCCAGAAAAUGGAGCAAUUCACUGCUGCCAUCCCAGUUGCACUGGGUGAUGUACUUCAGAGACACUCUAUGAAAAGCCACAUUUGAGAUGGGGAUGGGGCUUCUUACAAAUCCAGGACCCACUUUAUUCCCCUCCUUACCCGGAGCUUCCCAAAUCUGACAUUUUCCAGCAGCAGCGUGUGCACCUGUAUAAGUGUCAUGGGACACUGCCAAGCUCUUAAAAUACCCCUCUGCUGUCUGAUGGGCUGAAAAACCCGUUUGCAUUGUUGCUAAGGUUUUAGAAAAAAAAAAAAAACACAACAGUUUUUAUAGUAGUUCCUGCA